GACGAACGCUGGCGGCGUGCUUAACACAUGCAAGUCGAACGGAAAGGCCCUGCUUUUGUGGGGUGCUCGAGUGGCGAACGGGUGAGUAACACGUGAGUAACCUGCCCUUGACUUUGGGAUAACUUCAGGAAACUGGGGCUAAUACCGGAUAGGAGCUCCUGCUGCAUGGUGGGGGUUGGAAAGUUUCGGCGGUUGGGGGGGGACGCGCGGCUUAUCAGCUUGUGGGGGGGGUAGUGGCUUACCAAGGCUUUGACGUGUAGCCGGCCUGAGAGGGUGCCGGGCCACUUGGGGACUGAGAUACGGCCCACACCCAUACGGGGGGCAGGAGGGGGGAAUAUUGCACAAGGGGCGGGAGCGUGAUGCAGAAACGCCGCGUGGGGGAUGACGGCUUUCGGGGUGUAAACCGUUUUCGCCUGUGACGACGCGUGAUGGCCGUUAAUGGGGAAAGAAGCACCGGCUAACUACGU
rnacentral:rRNA from 1 species